GUCCUGAUAGUAUAUGAAUUACCUUGGUCUUGUAAACCAAAAAUGAAGAACUAUAUCUUCUCAGGACA
rnacentral:tRNA from 1 species